rnacentral:rRNA from 1 species
GGAGUUAGCCGGUGCUUCUUCUGUGAGUGAUGUCCUUCCUGCCGGUUAUUGACCCGCAGGCCUUCUUCCUCACUGAAAGUGCUUUACAACCCGAAGGCCUUCUUCACACACGCGGCAUGGCUGGAUCAGGGUUGCCCCCAUUGUCCAAUAUUCCCCACUGCUGCCUCCCGUAGUAGUCUGGGCCGUGUCUCAGUCCCAGUGUGGCUGAUCAUCCUCUCAGACCAGCUACGGAUCGUCGCCUUGGUGAGCCGUUACCUCACCAACCAGCUAAUCCGACAUAGGCUCAUCCGAUAGCGCGAGGCCCGAAGGUCCCCCGCUUUCCCCCGUAGGGCGUAUGCGGUAUUAGCCUGGGUUUCCCCAGGUUAUCCCCCACUACCGGGCAGAUUCCUAUGCAUUACUCACCCGUCCGCCGCUCGCCACCAGGGAGCAAGCUCCCCGUGCUGCCGCUCGACUUGCAUGUGUUAGCUGCCGCCAGCGUUCAUCUGAGCCAGAAUACAACUACUGA